UACGUAGGUGGCAAGCGUUGUCCGGAUUUACUGGGCGUAAAGAGUGCGCAGGCGGUCGUACAAGUCGCGUGUGAAAGCCCCCGGCUCAACUGGGGAGGGUCACGCGAUACUGUUCGACUCGAAGGCAGGAGAGGGAAGCGGAAUUCCCGGUGUAGUGGUGAAAUGCGUAGAUAUCGGGAGGAACACCAGUGGCGAAGGCGGCUUCCUGGCCUGUUCUUGACGCUGAGGCGCGAAAGCUAGGGUAGCAAACGGG
rnacentral:rRNA from 1 species